UGGGCCGUUAGCUCAGUUGGUUAGAGCAGCUGACUCUUAAUCAGCGGGUCCGGGGUUCGAGUCCCUGACGGCCCAU
rnacentral:tRNA from 1 species